rnacentral:rRNA from 1 species
AAACGGAAAGAGCCCAAACCAAGAAGCUUGCUUCUUGGGGUUGUAGGACACUCUAUACGGAGUUACAAAAGAAAGUUAUAAAUGAAGCGGUCUGGAAAGGCCCGCCAAAGACGGUAACAGCCCGGUAGUUGAAAUGGCUUUCCCUCCAGAGUGGAUCCUGAGUACGGCGGAACACGUGAAAUUCCGUCGGAAUCCGGGAGGACCAUCUCCCAAGGCUAAAUACUCCCUAGUGACCGAUAGUGAACCAGUACCGUGAGGGAAAGGUGAAAAGCACCCCGGAAGGGGAGUGAAACAGUUCCUGAAACCGUGUGCCUACAAGUAGUUAGAGCCCGUUAAUGGGUGAUAGCGUGCCUUUUGUAGAAUGAACCGGCGAGUUACGAUUUGUUGCAAGGUUAAGCGGAAAAAGCGGAGCCGUAGCGAAAGCGAGUCUGAAUAGGGCGCAUAAGUAACAGGUCGUAGACCCGAAACCAGGUGAUCUACCCAUGUCCAGGAUGAAGGUAAGGUAAUACUUACUGGAGGUCCGAACCCACGCACG